GACGAACGCUGGCGGCAUGCCUAACACAUGCAAGUCGAACGAGACCUUCGGGUCUAGUGGCGCACGGGUGCGUAACGCGUGGGAACAUGCCCUUAGGUUCGGAAUAACUCUCCGAAAGGGGUGCUAAUACCGGAUAAUGUCUUCGGACCCAAGAUUUAUCGCCUUUGGAUGGGCCCGCGUUGGAUUAGCUAGUUGGUAGGGUAAAAGCCUACCAAGGCGGCGAUCCAUAGCUGGUCUGGGAGGAUGACCAGCCACACUGGGACUGAGACACGGCCCAGACUCCUACGGGUGGCAGCAGUGGGGAAUAUUGGACGAUGGGCGAGAGCCUGAUCCAGCCAUGCCGCGUGAGUGAUGAAGGCCUUAGGGUUGUAAAGCUCUUUUGCACGGGAUGAUAAUGACGGUACCGGGAGAAUAAGCGCCGGCUAACUCCGUG
rnacentral:rRNA from 1 species